rnacentral:rRNA from 1 species
CCUACGGGUGGCAGCAGUGGGGAAUAUUGCACAAUGGGGGAAACCCUGAUGCAGCGACGCCGCGUGAGCGAUGAAGUAUUUCGGUAUGGAAAGCUCUAUCAGCAGGGAAGAAAAUGACGGUACCUGACUAAGAAGCCCCGUCUAACUACGUGCCGGCAGCCGCGGUAAUACGUAGGGGGCCAGCGUAAUCCGGAUGUACUGGGUGUAAAGGGAGCGUAGACGGCUGUGCAAGCCAGAUGUGAAAGUCUGGGGCUCAACCCCGGGACUGCAUUUGAAACCGUGUGGCUGGAGUGCAGGAGAGGGAGGCGGAAGUCCUAGUGUAGCGGUGAAAUGCGUAGAUAUUAGGAGGAACACCAGUGGCGAAGGCAGCCUGCUGAACGACGACUGACGUUGAGGCUCGAAAGCGUGGGGAGCAAACAGGAUUAGAUACCCUGGUAGUC